rnacentral:rRNA from 1 species
UACGAAGGGGGGCUAGCGUUGUUCGGAAUUACUGGGCGUAAAGCGCACGUAGGCGGACAUUUAAGUCAGGGGUGAAAUCCCGGGGCUCAACCUCGGAACUGCCUUUGAUACUGGGUGUCUUGAGUAUGGAAGAGGUAAGUGGAAUUGCGAGUGUAGAGGUGAAAUUCGUAGAUAUUCGCAGGAACACCAGUGGCGAAGGCGGCUUACUGGUCCAUUACUGACGCUGAGGUGCGAAAGCGUGGGGAGCAAACAGG